UACGAAGGGGGCUAGCGUUGUUCGGAAUCACUGGGCGUAAAGGGCGCGUAGGCGGCUUUGUAAGUCGGGGGUGAAAGCCUGUGGCUCAACCACAGAAUUGCCUUUGAUACUGUUUGGCUAGAGACCGGAAGAGGUAAGUGGAACUGCGAGUGUAGAGGUGAAAUUCGUAGAUAUUCGCAAGAACACCAGUGGCGAAGGCGGCUUACUGGUCCGGUUCUGACGCUGAGGCGCGAAAGCGUGGGGAGCAAACAGG
rnacentral:rRNA from 1 species